CUUAAGUUGCUAUAUAGAGGCCUGCGGGAGUGGCGAAGGAGACUCUUCAGAAUUGUUGGGUUUUGCUCAGGCAGGUGUGGGAACACCAGCCUGUGGAGAGCGUCCUCUCCUCACUGCUGGGGGCUCAGGACUUCUUCCCUGCUUGAGCAUUAGCUGAGGAGGCAGCAGAGUGGACCCCCCUGGUCCGUCACUAUGAGGGCCUUCCCGGAGUUGCCAACGCCGUUGCUGGUGAAUUUGAUCGGCUCGCUGCUAGGGUUCGUGGCCACAGUCACCCUCAUCCCAGCCUUCCGUGGCCACUUCAUCGCCGCCCGCCUCUGUGGCCAGGACCUCAACAAAUCCGGCCAGAAGCAGAUCCCCGAGUCCCAGGGAGUGAUCAGCGGUGCUGUUUUCCUUAUCAUUCUCUUCUGCUUCAUCCCUUUCCCUUUCCUGAACUGCUUUGUGGAAGAGCAAUGUAAAGCUUUCCCCCACCAUGAAUUUGUGGCCCUGAUAGGUGCGCUCCUUGCCAUCUGCUGCAUGAUUUUCCUGGGCUUCGCGGAUGAUGUCCUGAAUCUGCAAUGGCGCCAUAAGCUGCUGCUGCCCACAGCUGCCUCACUACCUCUCCUCAUGGUCUAUUUCACCAACUUUGGCAACACGACCAUUGUGGUACCCAAGCCCUUUCGACCGAUUCUAGGCCUGCAUUUGGACUUGGGGAUCCUGUACUAUGUCUACAUGGGGCUGUUGGCAGUGUUUUGUACCAAUGCCAUCAAUAUCCUAGCAGGAAUUAAUGGCCUAGAGGCUGGCCAGUCACUAGUCAUUUCUGCUUCCAUCAUCAUCUUCAACCUGGUAGAGCUGGAAGGUGAUUGUCGAGAUGAUCAUGUUUUUUCCCUCUACUUCAUGAUACCCUUUUUUUUCACCACCUUGGGAUUGCUCUAUCAUAACUGGUACCCAUCACAGGUGUUUGUGGGAGAUACCUUCUGUUACUUUGCUGGCAUGACCUUUGCCGUGGUAGGCAUCUUGGGACACUUCAGCAAGACCAUGCUACUCUUCUUCAUGCCCCAGGUGUUCAACUUUCUCUAUUCACUGCCUCAGCUCCUGCACAUCAUCCCCUGUCCUCGCCACCGUGUGCCCAGACUUAAUACCAACACAGGCAAACUGGAGAUGAGUUAUUCCAAGUUCAAGACCAAGAGCCUUUCUUUCUUGGGCACCUUUAUUCUAAAGGUAACAGGGGAAAAAGGAGAUAGCAGAGAGUCUCCAGCUGGUGACAGUGCGCCAGAGUGAGAAUGAGGAUGGUGCCUUCAUUGAGUGUAACAACAUGACCCUCAUCAACUUGCUACUUAAAGUCUUUGGGCCCAUGCAUGAGAGAAACCUCACACUGCUCCUGCUGCUGCUACAGAUCCUGGGCAGUGCUGUCACCUUCUCCAUUCGGUACCAGCUUGUCCGACUCUUCUAUGAUGUCUGAGUCCCUGGUCAUUGCUCUUAUUUCACAUUUCCAGGAUUCCUGACUCAAACCAACCUCAUUCUAGAACAAGAUUGCUUCUCAGCCCAGGCCCCUCCCACACCUCAUUCUUCUUAGCAUUUCCUUUCCCCUGUGGUUAUUGACAUACUGGCCCUUUCUUGCCCUCCAGUGACUAUUGAUUGGAUUUUGCCUGUAGUUUUCUUCAGCUUACCACUCUCCCUAUCCAUCACAUCUUUGCAGCCCCCUAGGUUGGAAAACUGCAUUGACUUUCAAGGAAUAUGUUGGGCCUGGGGAUAGAACCCUGGCUGGUAAGAGGGACACAGGCUCGAAGACGACUUCACAUUAGACUAUAAAUUAAGUAUUCUAAUUAGUAAAAUCAGGUGGGGGGUUGGGGAGACAGGUGCUCCUAGUGAUAACAAUAAAGUAUUGUCUUGUUCUUGUA